rnacentral:rRNA from 1 species
GACAGAGGGUGCAAACGUUGUUCGGAAUUACUGGGCGUAAAGGGCGUGUAGGUUGCUUGGAAAGUGGGGGGUGAAAGCCCUGGGCUCAACCUAGGAAGUGCACUCGAAACUGCGAAGCUCGAGUCCUGGAGAGGAAGGCGGAAUUCUCGGUGUAGAGGUGAAAUUCGUAGAUAUCGAGAGGAACACCGGUGGCGAAGGCGGCCUUCUGGACAGUGACUGACGCUGAGACGCGAAAGCGUGGGGAGCAAACAGG